AUGUUGCAUGUAUCCCAGAAUCCACUGCCUCACUCCCAACACAUGACGCACCCCCUGUCAAGGCCGAAACUAAGCCGACAUCAGGAAGCCUUGCGGCAUCCCCCAAGGGCGUCAUCCACCCCCUCCCUACAGCCCUCUGUAUUAAGGUGUGAGCUGUCUCUCCUAGUCCAAGGCAGCCGGCCAGGUUCCAGCUGGGAGGCAGAGCUGGGCCAGCACCGCACAGCUGAACAGGUUUGUCGGAGGAUCGGACUGAAUCCGAACGUCAGUAUAGAGCGCGCCAAAACGCCCCCGAAACCGCUCUCGCCACGUGCGGUCAUCACUUUGCAUUACGUGACCGCGCUAAAAUCAACUUCUGUUCGCCCGGUUUCCAGGAGUGCCGCGUCUGAGGCCGUCUCUCGUGGAGCUGAGCGCUCAUCCGCGUACCGGAGUCCCCUCCCUCUGCCUGUUCUUUUCCUCUGCCCAGAGCUGGGCUAGCGCUGCAGAUGCGGCCGUGGCUGAGCCGAGGAGACGGCCUUCCUCCCUCGCCUCCCUCCGCGGUGUCGGGGGGCUGGUGCUCUGCCCGGCCUCACCGGCCCCACUGAUGCCAUCCCGCUGAGGAAGGGAAUGACCAGCCUGGGACUUCCAGACUCAGUUUCCCAAAUAAACCACCUUGAAGGACGUUGGGUGCCUCCA
rnacentral:lncRNA from 1 species